GACGAACGCUGGCGGCGUGCUUAACACAUGCAAGUCGAACGGAAAGGCCCUGCUUUUGUGGGGUGCUCGAGUGGCGAACGGGUGAGUAACACGUGAGUAACCUGCCCUUGUCUUUGGGAUAACUUCAGGAAACUGGGGCUAAUACCGGAUAGGAGCUCCUGCUGCAUGGUGGGGGUUGGAAAGUUUCGGCGGUUGGGGAUGGACUCGCGGCUUAUCAGCUUGUUGGUGGGGUAGUGGCUUACCAAGGCUUUGAAGGGUAGCCGGCCUGAGAGGGUGACCGGCCACAUUGGGACUGAGAUACGGCCCAGACUCCUACGGGAGGCAGCAGGGGGGAAUAUUGCACAAUGGGCGGAAGCCUGAGGCAUCAACGCCGCGUGCGGGAUGACGGCCUUCGAGUGGUAAACCGCUUUCGCCUGUGACGAAGCGUGAUUGACGGUAAUGGGUAAAGAAGCACCGGCUAACUACGUG
rnacentral:rRNA from 1 species